UAACAGAUUUCCGCAACCCAUUAGGGCUCUACCUUCACCUUUUUAUCUUCAACGACUUUUCCCCAAUUCUAUUCCAUCUUCUUCUUGACCUCGAUUUCUCAUCGGAAACUUCAAAUCAAUCUCCGAUUCAUCUAAUUCGUUCUCCCCCCUUUCUAUUGAUACCUCUUUCGGCUAUAUCCAUUAGCUAAUUAUGGUGCAAAAAAGACCUUUUGGUGAAGAGGAUCUGUAUGAGGUUUCAUCUAAACAACCAAGGCAUGAACCCAGUUGUCAGCUAGAUUCGGUUUUGGAACUUUCUCGUGAAUCAGUAGCUGUGGAUGCUUAUGCUUCAGGUGGUGAUGAGGACAACUCUUCGAAAAUCUUCCCUGAUGCAAACAAGAAAUUUGAUAGUCACGUUGUGGCUGAAGUUCUUUUUUCUUCUGAGAAGGAAACUGAGAUGGGCACUCAUGGAUCUGCUUCAAACUCUUCCUGGCCCACCAGUAGCACCAGUGAGGAAGACAACAGGCCUGAGGCUCCUUUUCACAGAUUGACGUCUCCUGAAUAUUACUAUUUUGAUCAUUUGUUCAGAGCUGCUGCUCAUCACAGGGAGAUAUAUUCCUCUCUUUCGAGUAAUCCUCAAAAGAUGGUUCCUAUUGGACCAGAUUUCCAGGCAGAGUUACCAGAAUGGACACCAUAUAGUAAUAAGGAUAAACCGUGCAUAGAAGGUAUACAUGAAACUGUGAGUUCUCCAUCUCAAGCCAAUGAAAAUAAACUUGCUGGAAGGACUAUCAUUCCGAUGCCUAAAAUGGAGCUACUUGCAGACCAGGUCGAGAAUAUUGGAGAGAGAAG
rnacentral:misc_RNA from 1 species